GCUGGCGGCGGGCCUAACACAUGCAAGUCGAGCGGUAGAGAGAAGCUUGCUUCUCUUGAGAGCGGCGGACGGGUGAGUAAUGCCUAGGAAUCUGCCUGGUAGUGGGGGAUAACGUUCGGAAACGGACGCUAAUACCGCAUACGUCCUACGGGAGAAAGCAGGGGACCUUCGGGCCUUGCGCUAUCAGAUGAGCCUAGGUCGGAUUAGCUAGUUGGUGAGGUAAUGGCUCACCAAGGCGACGAUCCGUAACUGGUCUGAGAGGAUGAUCAGUCACACUGGAACUGAGACACGGUCCAGACUCCUACGGGAGGCAGCAGUGGGGAAUAUUGGACAAUGGGCGAAAGCCUGAUCCAGCCAUGCCGCGUGUGUGAAGAAGGUCUUCGGAUUGUAAAGCACUUUAAGUUGGGAGGAAGGGUUGUAGAUUAAUACUCUGCAAUUUUGACGUUACCGACAGAAUAAGCACCGGCUAACUCUGUGCCAGCAGCCGCGGUAAUACAGAGGGUGCAAGCGUUAAUCGGAAUUACUGGGCGUAAAGCGCGCGUAGGUGGUUUGUUAAGUUGGAUGUGAAAUCCCCGGGCUCAACCUGGGAACUGCAUUCAAAACUGACUGACUAGAGUAUGGUAGAGGGUGGUGGAAUUUCCUGUGUAGCGGUGAAAUGCGUAGAUAUAGGAAGGAACACCAGUGGCGAAGGCGACCACCUGGACUAAUACUGACACUGAGGUGCGAAAGCGUGGGGAG
rnacentral:rRNA from 1 species